rnacentral:rRNA from 1 species
AUGGCGCCGAAGAAGACGCCGAAGGGCAAGUCGGGCUUCUUCGGCGUGAGGCAGAAGCCCUCCGGUAACUGGGGUGUGGAGUUCUCCGAAGCCGGAAGGCGUUGGUGGAUCGACACGUACCCCUCCGCCCACGAGGCCGCGUGUGCCUACGACGUGGCGGUGUGGCGUGCCGAGAGGCCUCGGUCGCACCUCAACUUUCCAGAGAUCGAGAGUCGGGCGAUAGCGGAGAUGCUUGUGCCGCAGGGCAUCAACAUGAAGGAGAUCACGACGAAGAAGAAAGGAGACAAAGAAGCCGUCGGUUGUCGUCAGUGCUGGCGAGACCAAUGA